GCCGGAGUGGCGGAAUGGCAGACGCGGCGGACUCAAAAUCCGUUGCCCGCAAGGGCGUGUGGGUUCGACUCCCACCUCCGGCA
rnacentral:tRNA from 1 species